rnacentral:rRNA from 1 species
UACGUAGGGGGCAAGCGUUGUCCGGAAUUAUUGGGCGUAAAGCGCGCGUAGGUGGCCUCGUAAGUCCGCUGUGAAAGUCAAAGGCUCAACCUUUGAAAGCCGGUGGAUACUGUGGGGCUAGAGUACGGAAGAGGCGAGUGGAAUUCCUGGUGUAGCGGUGGAAUGCGCAGAUAUCAGGAGGAACACCAAUAGCGAAGGCAGCUCGCUGGGACGUUACUGACACUGAGGCGCGAAAGCUAGGGGAGCAAACGGG